AUGCACAUACAUGAUACACCCGUAAGGCCGUAACCAAACUAACCUAUAUAAAUCGUCACCUUGCUACUGAAAAUAUCUCUUAUCUCCUUCUCCUCCUCCUUCUUAUCCCCUUCGAAUUUCCUAAAACCUCCGUUAAACCUUACAGGUAAGUUAACAAUGGCUUCCUCUACUCUUUCCUUUCAACUUCUCUCGCUAACAACCUUAUCCUCAAUCUCUAAAACCAGUUCUCCUUCUGCUCUCUGCAACUUUCCAUCCUCCAUUAAUCCUUUUCCCAAGCUUUUCUCCAUACCUACUUCGAUUAAGCUCUUUGAAGCCACUCCAUCGUCCAAAUUCGUCCGAAAUUUUGCUGUAGCCUCACCCUACGGUCUGGAUGAGGAUUUAUCAAGUGACGGAGAUGAAGACCAGCGGACGAAUUAUUCCCCCGACCUUAAAGUUUAUGUCGGAAACUUGC
rnacentral:lncRNA from 1 species